rnacentral:rRNA from 1 species
GACGAACGCUGGCGGCGUGCUUAACACAUGCAAGUCGAACGGAAAGGCCCUGCUUUUGUGGGGUGCUCGAGUGGCGAACGGGUGAGUAACACGUGAGUAACCUGCCCUUGACUUUGGGAUAACUUCAGGAAACUGGGGCUAAUACCGGAUUGGAGCUCCUGCUGCAUGGUGGGGGUUGGAAAGUUUCGGCGGUUGGGGAUGGACUCGCGGCUUAUCAGCUUGUUGGUGGGGUAGUGGCUUACCAAGGCUUUGACGGGUAGCCGGCCUGAGAGGGUGACCGGCCACAUUGGUACUGAGAUACGGCCCAGACUCCUACGGGAGGCAGCAGUGGGGAAUAUUGCACAAUGGGCGGAAGCCUGAUGCAGCAACGCCGCGUGCGGGAUGACGGCCUUCGGGUUGUAAACCGCUUUCGCCUGUGACGAAGCGUGAGUGACGGUAAUGGGUAAAGAAGCACCGGCUAACUACGUG